AUCUUCGCAUAGAGCACAGUACCCCUUCACACGGAGGACGCGAUGGCUCCCAAGAAACGCCCAGAAACCCAGAAGACCUCCGAGAUUGUAUUACGCCCCAGGAACAAGAGGAGCAGGAGUCCCCUGGAGCUGGAGCCCGAGGCCAAGAAGCUCUGUGCGAAGGGCUCCGGUACUGCCUGUGCCUGCUGCUUGAAUAUUUCCGCCUUUUAGGGUGCUCGCGCAGGAGGCUGCAGCGGGGGAUGGGUGCUCCGAGGCUCCCGAGGCCCGCGCAGGUCACGGGUGCCUCCGGCUGUGCAUUCUACCUGCAGGUCCUUUGACACCAGAGUGUUUAGGUUUCAACACCUCUCCCGCUAGGUAACAGGAAGCAGAUGAGCUCCGUAACAACAGACACACGGACUUGUCAGAUUCCUUGUUCGUAUCAGGGUUCUUGCACAGUUAGGACGGCUUCAGAGAAUCCUACCUUUCCUGGCGCUGUGUGUGCUGGAUUUCAUAGUCACGCUUGUUAGCUGCACGUCCUCGGUGGUCAGUUGUGAGAGCCCCCAAUUCCUUCCUCCUUAGAAAGCUCAUUCUCUGAGGUUUACUGGGGCUUGAACCUGGGGCUAUAAGGAGUUUCGAGACACUCAAAAACGAGCUGGGGCUUGUUAAUCAAGUGGUUUUUGUCCAUGAGAAGAAAGAAUUGGUUGUCAAGACGUCGGACCUAUAGUGAUUGGGUCCUCAAAUACAGUUUGGUGAUCAGGAGUUGUUGCUUUAUUGCUAUUCUAAUUUCACUUACCUCCCCAGAAGUAACCUAGUUAAGAGCAUUUCCAGGCCUUCCUAUUCCUUCUUUUCCUAAACGGUGACUUCUGCCAUGCUGCCCUAAAAUCUUUUUAUUGUGCAUUAUAUGUGAUUUAUAAAAUUGUGACCCAGUCCCAUCUCGAGUUUUGCAGCCCAAACUGGGAAGAGUUCUGCAGUGUACUUUAUUCUUGUGUGUUUCUUUGGCUGGGGUCUCAGGAACCCUGCACGACUGUAUUUACUUUCACUUCAGACUUACUGUUUGUGGGAGUGUUUUGGGGAAGGGGCCAAAUCCUCACUCAUUUUUUUAUUUCUGGUGCUCGUUGAGACCACACAGACAUGGAAAGGCCGCAGGAGGUGAUGAGACAGAGAUUAACCGUGCCGAAUGAAACAAGGCUUCCUUUCGGGGAAUUCAGCAGAAAAACCUUUCGUGAGAUUGGAGAGGAAAAUAUGUCUGUUCUGCUUGGCAGGUCCUAGCAGAAGAUGUGACUCAGACUGCCUCUGGGUGGGGCUGGCUGGCCCACAGAUCCUGCCACCAUGCCGCAGCAUCGUCAGGACCCUCCACCAGCAUAAGCUGGGCAGAGCUUCCUGGCCAUCUGUCCAGCAGGGGCUCCAGCAGUCCUUUUUGCACACUCUGGAUUCUUACCGGAUAUUACAAAAGGCUGCCCCCUUUGACAGGAGGGCUACAUCCUUGGCGUGGCACCCAACUCACCCCAGCACCGUGGCUGUGGGUUCCAAAGGGGGAGAUAUCAUGCUCUGGAAUUUUGGCAUCAAGGACAAACCCACCUUCAUCAAAGGGAUUGGAGCUGGAGGGAGCAUCACUGGGCUGAAGUUUAACCCUCUCAAUACCAACCAGUUUUACGCCUCCUCAAUGGAGGGAACAACUAGGCUGCAAGACUUUAAAGGCAACAUUCUACGAGUUUUUGCCAGCUCAGACACCAUCAACAUCUGGUUUUGUAGCCUGGAUGUGUCUGCUAGUAGCCGAAUGGUGGUCACAGGAGACAACGUGGGGAACGUGAUCCUGCUGAACAUGGACGGCAAAGAGCUUUGGAAUCUCAGAAUGCACAAAAAGAAAGUGACGCAUGUGGCCCUGAACCCAUGCUGUGAUUGGUUCCUGGCCACAGCCUCCGUAGAUCAAACAGUGAAAAUUUGGGACCUGCGCCAGGUUAGAGGGAAAGCCAGCUUCCUCUACUCGCUGCCGCACAGGCAUCCUGUCAACGCAGGUGUGAUAUCCCAGACCUCAUCUCUCCUGCAGACCCUGCCUGUCUGACCACUGCUGGGGUUUUCCCUCAGUGUGGAAGCCACUACAUCAAACCUUUACCCCUGAUAGCGUCUGCCAAGCUGAUGUCUGGGAACCUUUGUGGCUGUGGCUAUCCCCAUCAGCUGCUGAGUUUCCAGAAUUUUUUUGUUGUUGUUCACAGCCCAGAUUCACCUCUUCCUUUCCGCUCCUGUCUAGAGAGGAGUGGGAGGGAGAGUACCCCUGCAGGAGAAGGCCUGCACGGCCAGGACCACAGAGGGCUUGUGGUUCCUUCAGCUCAGGGGCUUUUCACUUUGCCAGCUUGUUUCAGUCCCGAUGGAGCCCGGCUCCUGACCACGGACCAGAAGAGCGAGAUCCGAGUUUACUCUGCUUCCCAGUGGGACUGCCCCCUGGGCCUGAUCCCGCACCCUCACCGUCACUUCCAGCACCUCACACCCAUCAAGGCAGCCUGGCAUCCUCGCUACAACCUCAUUGUUGUGGGCCGAUACCCAGAUCCUAAUUUCAAAAGUUGUACCCCUUAUGAAUUGAGGACGAUCGAUGUGUUCGAUGGAAACUCAGGGAAGAUGAUGUGUCAGCUCUAUGACCCAGAAUCUUCUGGCAUCAGUUCGCUUAAUGAAUUCAAUCCCAUGGGGGACACGCUGGCCUCUGCAAUGGGUUACCACAUUCUCAUCUGGAGCCAGGAGGAAGCCAGGACACGGAAGUGAGAGACACUAAAGAAGGUGUGGGCCAGACAAGGCCUUGGAGCCCACACAUGGGAUCAAGUCCUGCAAGCAGAGGUGGCGAUCUGUUAAAGGGCCAAAAGUAUCCAAGGUUAGGGUUGGAGCAGGGGUGCUGGGUCCUGGGGCACUGUGGGACUGGGACACUUUUAUGUUAAUGCUCUGGACUUGCCUCCAGAGACUGCUCCAGAGUGGGUGACACAGCUGUCCCAAGGGCCCCUCUGUAUCUAGCCUGGAACCAAGGUUAUCUUGGAACUAAAUGACUUUUCUCUUCUCAGUGGGUGGUAGCAGAGGGAUCAAGCAGUUAUUUGAUUUGUGCUCACUUUUGAUAUAGCCAAUAAAACCAUACCGACUGA
rnacentral:sRNA from 1 species